CCUACGGGUGGCAGCAGUGAGGAAUAUUGGUCAAUGGACGAGAGUCUGAACCAGCCAAGUAGCGUGAAGGAUGACUGCCCUAUGGGUUGUAAACUUCUUUUAUAUGGGAAUAAAACGUUCCACGUGUGGGAUUUUGUAUGUACCAUAUGAAUAAGGAUCGGCUAACUCCGUGCCAGCAGCCGCGGUAAUACGGAGGAUCCGAGCGUUAUCCGGAUUUAUUGGGUUUAAAGGGAGCGUAGGUGGAUUGUUAAGUCAGUUGUGAAAGUUUGCGGCGCAACCGUAAAAUUGCAGUUGAAACUGGCAGUCUUGAGUACAGUAGAGGUGGGCGGAAUUCGUGGUGUAGCGGUGAAAUGCUUAGAUAUCAUGAAGAACUCCGAUUGCGAAGGCAGUUCACUGGACUGCAACUGACACUGAGGCUCGAAAGUGUGGGUAUCAAACAGGAUUAGAUACCCGUGUAGUC
rnacentral:rRNA from 1 species